GCCCUAGUAGCACAAUAGUUAAGCGCUUGGCUGCUAAUUGAAAAGUUGGUGGUUUGAACCCACCCAGGGGCU
rnacentral:tRNA from 1 species